CCGGGGAGGGCCCGCGCGCGCGCUCUGGAGACUCCUGCGGUCUCCCUAGCUGUUUCUUGAAGCUCUGCAUAAGCCUCGCCCGCGGCCGCCGGGUUGCGUCCGCACUUCUGCGCGCUGGCCCCUCCCUUGCUCCUCUCCCUAGCAGUCUCCAGGGUUUUACCGGGAGGACCUAGGCAACGGCCUGAGACUCCGAGACUCUAUGUUGAAGAUGCCUGGACUAACCUACUGAAGAUACGUGGUUUUACCAACAGCCAGCACCAAUAGGAAGAUAUGAAUGAAGCCAUCUGAGACCAGCCAUCUGGCAGCCAAACUGCCAACUGACUGCAAAUGCAUGAAUGAUCCCACUGACACCACGUAGAGCACAAAUGAGUUGCCUCCACUGAGCCCAGCCCAAAUUGUUAUCCUAUAAAAUCAUAAAAACAUAAACAGUUGUUUUAAGUCACUAAGUUUUGGAUAGUUUGUUAUACAACAAAAGCUAGCUGAAACAAAUGUAUUAGCUAGAGCAGCUGUGAAUGGCACUAUUUGCUUAGUUGAUUGGCUGAAAUUUGGACUCACUGGUAGGUUACAUUUAAUGGUGUUGAGUUGCCAGAAUUUCUCUGGAAUAAUGUAUAGGAAGGAUUCUAAUGGCCUAAGCCAUUAGAAUCUCUAAGGAGAUAGAAAUAAAGGAGUGAUUUAUUAUAUGUAACUGUGCCUCUUCCCUCACCACACUUGGUCCUGAAAGAGCCUAAGGAAUAGUUUCUUCUCUAAAGCAUUGAAAAAUGCUUUAAUGGGAGAAGCCCCAGCACCCUUGAACAUGUUCAGGCAGCUGCUUUCUAUAGGCCAAGGAUGUGGUGGGAAAAUCUGCCUGAUCUCAAUGUAGAUGAUGAGAUCCCAGAGUAGCGAUCAGCAUUUUUUACCAGCAGGAAUAAUCUUUGGUGGUGGUUGGCUCUAAGAAUUAAAUAGAUGUGGGCCGGGCGUGGUCUCACUAUAUUGAAGUAAACUGAUGCGUAGAGGUCAACCAAUAUAUUCAGAGUUGUAUAACUCAUACCUAGUUGAGCUGGGGUUUGAAUCUCUGAUGCCAGAACCCACACGCCACCUACACUCCUAUAGCACUUCCCUGGAAAAGAGUGAAAUUAAUUAUUAUUAUUAAAUUCUGGGAUACAUGUGCUGAACCUGCAGGUUUGUUACAUAGGUAUACAUGUGCCAUGGUGGUUUGCUGAAUCUAUCAACAUGUCAUCUAGGUAUUUGUCCUAAUGCUCUUCUCUGCUUUCCCCCAACCCCCUCAACAGGCCCUGGUGGGUGAUGUUCCCCUCCUUGUGUCCAUGUGUUCUCAUUGUUCAACUCCUACAUAUGAGUGAGAACAUGUGGUGUUUGGUUUUCUGUUCCUGUGUUAGUUUGCUGAGGAUUAUGGUUUCCAGCUUCAUCCGUGUCCCUGCAAAGGACAUGAACUCAUUCUUUUUUUAUGGCUGCAUAGUAUUCCAUGCUGUAUAUGUGCCACCUUUUCUUUAUCCAGUCUAUCAUUGAUGGGCAUUUGGGUUGGUUCCAAGUUUUUGCUAUUGUGAAUAGUGCUGCAAUAAACAUACGUGUGCAUGUGUCUUUAUAGUAGAAUGAUUUAUAAUCCUUUGGGUAUAUACUCAGUAAUGUGAUUGCUGGGUCAAAUGGUAUUUCUGGUUCUAGACCCUUGAGAAAUCACCACACUGUCUUCCACAAGGGUUGAACUAAUUUACACUCCCACCAACAGUGUAAAAGUGUUCCUAUUUCUCUGCACCCUCGCCAGCAUCUGUUGUUUCUGAAAUUAAUUAUUGACCAGCAAAGAGACCACACAGUAUAAAAAUACCACUUUAAACCCCAUGUGGUAGGAAAUCAGGGCACAUUAUGGUGUGUAACAAAAAAUAUAGGUUUGUUGCUCUAAUUCCAUCCCUUUCAAACUGAACAAGCAGCCUUAACCAAAUUACUUAACCUCUCUGUGCCUUUCCUUAUCUGUAAAAUGGAGUAAUUAAUAGUGUCUUUUUCAGAGAGUUUGGGGAUGAUUUGUUCCAAUAGUAUGUGUAAAAUGCUUAACAAUAUUGGGCAAUAGCAAGUACUUGAUAAAUGUUAGGUGUUAAGAUAGCAUGCUGUAGUAUAGAAAAUUUCUGAAGCUAAGACACAUUGCCUUAUGAUUUUCUCCCCUGACAGAACCCAGAUUUCAGGAUACUACAGCUAGAUUGCUCUCUCCCUAUUUGGUAAUCUAAAAGAUAGCCCCAAUCUAGGAACAAAGAUGGGAAUAUUUUGACAGAAGCCAUUAUGCCACUGGGUUCCUAACAGAGUUAAACAAAACUCCCCAAGCAUUCAACAUGCCAAUCACAUAUCUGGGGCAUGGGUGGGGGUAGGGGCAGCAUAGGUGGGCUUCUUCCAGGGAAGAAGGCCUUGUCUCCUGCCCUGCUCUCUGUGGUGUUAGGAAGUGCUCCUCCUCCAGCAGGAGCCCCAGAUCAAGCAUCCCUAGGACCCAACCCUGCUGAAAAGUACAUCCAAGUUUGCCUCAAAGGCCUUCAAAUCUUUGGGAGCCAAAUGGCGUAAUAGGAUAUUAAACUUACUGACUUGCAAGACCCUGAGCAAACCUCUUACCCAAAAGUAGAAUAUAUAAAGAACGUUGAAGAAUAACAAUUGAGUUUUAUUCUUUAAAGGCAUUCUCUGAUUUACAUGAGAAUUGA
rnacentral:lncRNA from 1 species